UACAGAGGUCUCAAGCGUUGUCCGGAGUCAUUGGGCGUAAAGAGCGUGUAGGCGGCCAGAUAAGUCCGCUGUGAAAUCUCGAGGCUCAACUUCGAGCUGUCGGUGGAAACUGUCUGGCUAGAGUCCGGAAGAGGAGAAUGGAAUUCCUGGUGUAGCGGUGAAAUGCGCAGAUAUCAGGAAGAACACCCGUGGCGAAGGCGGUUCUCUGGGACGGUACUGACGCUGAGACGCGAAAGCGUGGGGAGCGAACAGG
rnacentral:rRNA from 1 species